rnacentral:rRNA from 1 species
AAACCAGCACCUCAAGUGGUCAGGAGGAUUAUUGGGCUUAAAGCAUCCGUAGCCUGUUCUGUAAGUUUUCGGUUAAAUCCACUAGCUCAACUAGUGGGCUGCCGAAAAUACUGUAGAACUAGGGAGUGGGAGAGGUAGACGGUAUUCGGUAGGAAGGGGUAAAAUCCUUUGAUCUAUUGAGGACCACCUGUGGCGAAGGCGGUCUACCAGAACACGUUCGACGGUGAGGGAUGAAAGCUGGGGGAGCAAACCGGAUUAGAAACCCGAGUAGUCC